rnacentral:rRNA from 1 species
UACGAAGGGGGCUAGCGUUGUUCGGAAUCACUGGGCGUAAAGGGCGCGUAGGCGGCGCGACAAGUCAGGCGUGAAAGCCCCGGGCUCAACCCGGGAAUUGCGCUUGAUACUGUCGUGCUUGAGGCCGGGAGAGGAUGGCGGAAUUCCCAGUGUAGAGGUGAAAUUCGUAGAUAUUGGGAAGAACACCGGUGUCGAAGGCGGCCAUCUGGACCGGUUCUGACGCUGAGGCGCGAAAGCGUGGGGAGCAAACAGG